UAGGGAAUCUUCGGCAAUGGGGGCAACCCUGACCGAGCAACGCCGCGUGAGUGAAGAAGGUUUUCAGAUCGUAAAGCUCUGUUGUAAGAGAAGAACGUGUGUGAGAGUGGAAAGUUCACACAGUGACGGUAACUUACCAGAAAGGGACGGCUAACUACGUGUCAG
rnacentral:rRNA from 1 species